GAUGAACGCUGGCGGCGUGCCUAAUACAUGCAAGUCGAGCGAACAGACGAGGAGCUUGCUCCUCUGACGUUAGCGGCGGACGGGUGAGUAACACGUGGAUAACCUACCUAUAAGACUGGGAUAACUUCGGGAAACCGGAGCUAAUACCGGAUAAUAUAUUGAACCGCAUGGUUCAAUAGUGAAAGACGGUUUUGCUGUCACUUAUAGAUGGAUCCGCGCCGCAUUAGCUAGUUGGUAAGGUAACGGCUUACCAAGGCAACGAUGCGUAGCCGACCUGAGAGGGUGAUCGCCCACACUGGAACUGGGACACGGUCCAGACUCCUACGGGAGGCAGCAGUAGGGAAUCUUCCGCAAUGGGCGAGAGCCUGACGGAGCAACGCCGCGUGAGUGAUGAAGGUCUUCGGAUCGUAAAACUCUGUUAUUAGGGAAGAACAAAUGUGUAAGUAACUAUGCACGUCUUGACGGUACCUAAUCAGAAAGCCACGGCUAACUACGUG
rnacentral:rRNA from 1 species